AUGCAACAGAAAGGCGUACCAGCUGACAGUCUCCCAAGAUGCCUGGUCAAGCUUCCAAAACCACCAAAUGAUACAGGCGAUUGUAUACCACUGGCAUCACCAAACUAGAAAAUAAAGCGUCAUUGCUUUAAUAUUAUAGAUCUUCAAUGACUUAGUUUCGCAAAGGUUCAGAAGUGCAAAACAUAAUAUACCUGCAAAACUCUACUAAAAGCAGCUGGUAGCGGGCUGUGAGGUGCUCCAUAUCAACAAACAUACCUCUCACGAUAUGUGGGAAAGAUGCCAUAAAUAACUCUCAGUAUCUCUAGAUUGUCAAGUGGAAC
rnacentral:lncRNA from 1 species